CCCUUAGAUGUUCUGGGCCGCACACGGGCUACACUGCGAGGUUCAACAAGCUUCAUACCCUGGUCCGAUAGGAUUGGGCAAUCUUUUGAACUCCUCGCGUGAUAGGGAUAGACUAUUGCAAUUGUUAGUCUUCAACGAGGAAUUCCUAGUAAACGCGAGUCAUCAACUCGCAUUGAUUACGUCCCUGCCCUUUGUACACACCGCCCGUCGCUCCUACCGAUCGAAGAGUUAGGUGAAUUGUUUUGAUCGAUAAGAUUUGACUAUGGUCAACUCUCGUUGUGAAAUUCUGUGAAUCUGACUGUUUAGAGGAAGGAAAAGUCGUAACA
rnacentral:rRNA from 1 species